rnacentral:tRNA from 1 species
GCGGAUAUGGCGGAAUUGGCAGACGCACUAGAUUUAGGAUCUAGCGGGAAACCGUGGGGGUUCAAGUCCCUUUAUCCGCACCA